rnacentral:rRNA from 1 species
UACGUAGGGUGCGAGCGUUGUCCGGAAUUAUUGGGCGUAAAGAGCUCGUAGGCGGUCUGUCGCGUCUGCUGUGAAAUCCCGAGGCUCAACCUCGGGCCUGCAGCCGAUACGGGCAGACUAGAGUUCGGCAGGGGAGACUGGAAUUCCUGGUGUAGCGGUGAAAUGCGCAGAUAUCAGGAGGAACACCGGUGGCGAAGGCGGGUCUCUGGGCCGAUACUGACGCUGAGGAGCGAAAGCGUGGGGAGCGAACAGG